rnacentral:lncRNA from 1 species
ACCAUAAACCAAAAGAUUCUUGGAAUGAUUCCUGGAAAUCACGAUAUCUUCACAUUAGAAUUAAAAGGGAUGAACGAGAAAAACAAUGUUUCUCCGAAAAAUACUUGAAUUUGCGAGGGGAAAAAAAAUCCGUCACACGAUUCCCGCCUUCGAAAUUUACGAUUCCCAAUCCCACAGGCUCUCACAUUGAGAAAAAGCACUCCUGGUCUCCUCCUCUUUUUUUUUUUUUUUUUGUUAUAUCAAAACUUCAUUUAGCGAUUUGAGAAAUAGAGAGGUGAGAGAGGCAGUGUUUUGCUCAUUGGGUUUCCUGACUUAGUUCUGGAAAACUGUGGGAUUUUGGAUUUCUGUAGAAUUGGGUUUUGAUGGCUUACGUUUGUUAUUUUUUUUUUUUUUCACAGC